rnacentral:rRNA from 1 species
UGAAGCCGGAAUUGCUGUAAUGGCAGGUCAGCAUACUGCCGUGAAUACGUUCCCGGGCCUUGUACACACCGCCCGUCACACCAUGAGAGUUGGGAAUACCCGAAGCCUGUGAGCUAACAUUAAGAGGCAGCAGUCGAAGGUAGAAUCAAUGAUUGGGGUGAAGUCGUAACAAGGUAUC